rnacentral:lncRNA from 1 species
AUUACGAGGUCACGUUUUUGUUUAAGCCCCCGUUUGGUUCGGGGUUAAGAAAAAGUAGCUAUUCCAGGUAUAGGGUUAAGUUCAGGGUUAAAAUGGUGUUAAAAUUUUUUUGUGUUUGGUUGGAGGUUGGAGUUAGUCUAGGAUAGUGAAAAAAAGUGUUUGGUUGGAGUAGGUGGGAUAAAAAUAUAAUGAUUGAUAAAGAAAAAAAAGGUGAGAGCUCGGAAUGCGUGCGGGGUUAAAGUUGGGAGGGGGAGUGGGGUUAAUGAUUGAUAAGAAGAAAAAGGUGAGGGCUCAGAAUACGUACGGGAUUAAAGUUGGGAGGGGGAGUGGGGUUAGUAAACCCCACUAACCCAGUUUGGGAUGGAGUUUACUAACCCCACCCCAAAAGAGUGGUGUUUGGGUAUAAAUUGGGGGUUAAGGGAUUAUUCCACCCCUUAACCCCCAACCAAACAGUGGCUAAAAGAUUAAUAAUACAAACAUAAGCAGGUCCCAAUUUAUUUGACUUGAUAUAGCUCAACAAUAAAUAAAU